ensembl:snRNA U1 U1 spliceosomal RNA
AUACUUACAAGGCAGGGGAGAUACCAUGAUCAUGAAGGUGGUUUUCCCAGUACAAGGCUUAUCCAUUUCACUCUGGAUGUACUGACCCAUGUGAUUUUCCCAAAUGUGGGAAACUUGCCUGCAUAAUUUGUGGUAGUGGGGGAUUGUGUUUGCACUCUCCCCUG